CAGAAAAACGGUGCUACAAACUAUGUUUUUUGGACAAAAAAGAAGAAGAACUAGGCUUGACAAAGUCAUGCAACAAUACAGAGCAGGAUUACAGAAAAACUACUCGCCUGAUUUUCAACAAUCUUGAUGGAACGGUGUAGCCUGAUCCAAGGAAGAACCCAUUAGGUUUUGGAGCAGAUCCAAAUCAUAGGGUGUAUAUACUUACUCAUUUUUACUUCCAGUAUCAUUAUAAAAUAAAGCAUUUGUGCUGCA